UUUGGCUGAAUUUGGCUGAAAACAGUCGAAAACAACCAACCCGAGGUGGAUCACCGCCGCUCGCGGCAGUGCUGUCGCUGGAGCACAGCGGAGCUGCCGUACCGAAAUUCUGAAAUUGGCCGAGUAGGCCCUGGGUAUGAUUUUUGGGUUAUUUGGGACAUGUGUAGGUACCAUAAGCGCGUUUCAGUUUCCGGAGAAAAAAUUCAGGGAACCCAGGGACCGCCCGUAGGCGUAGUGAAAAUCUAGUUUUC
rnacentral:lncRNA from 1 species